UGGGGAAUAUUGCGCAAUGGGGGAAACCCUGACGCAGCGACGCCGCGUGCGGGAUGAAGGCCUUCGGGUUGUAAACCGCUUUUGAUUGGGAGCAAGCUUUCGGGUGAGUGUACCUUUCGAAUAAGCGCCGGCUAACUACGUGCCAGCAGCCGCGGUAAUACGUAGGGCGCAAGCGUUAUCCGGAAUUAUUGGGCGUAAAGAGCUUGUAGGCGGUUCGUCGCGUCUGGUGUGAAAGCCCAUCGCUUAACGGUGGGUUUGCGCCGGGUACGGGCGGGCUAGAGUGCAGUAGGGGAGACUGGAAUUCCCGGUGUAACGGUGGAAUGUGUAGAUAACGGGAAGAACACCAAUGGCGAAGGCAGGUCUCUGGGCUGUUACUGACGCUGAGAAGCGAAAGCGUGGGGAGCGAACAGG
rnacentral:rRNA from 1 species